GACGAACGCUGGCGGCGUGCUUAAUACAUGCAAGUCGAGCGGAGAUAUCUUGAAAGUUUACUGAUAGAUAUCUUAGCGGCGGACGGGUGAGUAACGCGUGGGCAAUCUGCCCUCUAGCCUGGGAUAACAGAGCGAAAGUUCUGCUAAAACCGGAUAUGCUUACAGUAAGACAUCUUGCAGUAAGGAAAGGAUACACUAGAGGAUGAGCCCGCGUCCCAUUAGCUAGUUGGUGAGGUAACGGCCCACCAAGGCGACGAUGGGUAGCCGACCUGAGAGGGUGACCGGCCACACUGGGACUGAGACACGGCCCAGACUCCUACGGGAGGCAGCAGUAGGGAAUUUUCGGCAAUGGGCGAAAGCCUGACCGAGCAACGCCGCGUGAGGGAAGAAGGUCUUCGGAUCGUAAACCUUUGUCUUUGGGGAAGAUAAUGACGGUACCCAAGGAGGAAGCCACGGCUAACUACGUG
rnacentral:rRNA from 1 species